rnacentral:tRNA from 1 species
UGGCUUGUAGCGCAACUGGCAGCGUAGCCGGCUCUUAACCGGCGGGUUGUGGGUUCGAGUCCCACCAAGCCAA